GAAAGGCUGCGGCAGCGGCAGCGGAAAGAAAAAGAGAAAACAAAUGAUAUGUAACCAAAUUUCUUCCUGGCGGCCGGUCUGGUAAAAGAAAAAAACUGCAAAACUGGUCCACCGUGACCCACUAAAGCCUCUCUUUACUUUUUACUCGAAAAUCAGCCACCAAUUGCUGACUUUAACACCAACAUGGGUCGAAAGGUGCAAACGGACCCGCUCCAUUUUAUUAACUUUGCUUAAGCAACAUUUGCCCGCAACUUUCACUUUGCUGCAUAAAAAAAUCAAUCGAAGCAGGAAGAUAAGAUUGUAAUUAACUGGGGAAUUCUUUUAACUUGUUUAAUGUCAGCGUUUUUAGACUCUAGGUAAGCACUUAUUAAUAGUAGUUGACGAAAAGUGUUGACCAAAGUGGAAUCAGCACAAGGGUUAAGUUUGCGGCUCAGUGCGUUUUCGGCAACUAACAAGAUCAACAAAAAAGACUCAAUAAAAUACGACUGGCACGGCUUCAUUGGUUUUGCGGUUAAAAUGUUGCAACAAGAACUGGCAAUGCCACAAAAAUUGGACAACUGAAAACGCAGUAAAAGGAAUGAGUCGCAGCUUCAAAUACACUUGGUAUUUAUUGAAAAUUAAUAUACAACUUUAUAAUUCAUUUAAAAUUUGCAUAACUGAGCUAUGAAAUCUGAUGCUUCAAUUUCGUAACAUUCGCCCAGAGGAACCUUUAAAAAACCCAUAACCAUUGGACUACCC